rnacentral:rRNA from 1 species
CAAAAGCCCCUCGCUUACACCGAAGAAAUAUCCGUGAAACUCGGAUCAUUUUGAGCCUAAAUCCUAGCCUUUCGCACACUCAUGCAACACUCACCCCGCUGCUUAAUAAUAAAACAUUUUACUAUUAUAGUACAGGAGAUCAAAAUAUUUCUAAGCGCUUCAGAUUCAGUACCGCAAGGGAAUGAUGAAAUAAAAAUGAAAUAAAUUUAAAGCCCUAAAUAGCAGAGAUUACCCCUCGUACCUUUUGCAUCAUGGUCUAGCUAGUCUAACCAAGCAAAAAGAAAUUUUAGUUUGCCCUCCCGAAACUAAGCGAGCUACUUCAAAAUAGCUGCAAGAGCCAACCCGUCUCUGUUGCAAAAGAGUGGGAAAAUUUUUAAGUAGAGGUGAUAAACCUAUCGGGCUUAGAGAUAGCUGGUUGUUCAGGAAAAGAGUUUAAGCUCCACCUUAAGUUUUUUAAUUACCUCAAAAAUUCUUCUAAACUUCAGAGUUACUCAAAUAAGGCACAGCUUAUUUGAAUAAGGACACAGCCUACAACAACGGGUAAACAAGGGUAAUAAAAAUGAAGUGGGCCUAAAAGCAGCCACCUCAAAAAAGCGUCACAGCUUAUUUUUUACUACCCCUAAUUCAACAAAACUCACUUAACCCUUCAUCCCUACUGAACUAUUUUAUACCUUUAUAAAAAUAAUUAUGCUAGAACUAGUAACAAGAAACUGCCUUUCUCCUCAUGCAAGUUUACACCAAAGCGGACCACCCAUUGGUUUUUAACGUGACUGUUUUUUUUAUAGCAACCUAAACUAGAAAACCCUAUAAUUUCUGACGUUAACCUUACACUAGAGCAUUACAGGAAAGAUUAAAAAAAAGAGAAGGAACUCGGCAAAUUUUAGCCCCGCCUGUUUACCAAAAACAUCGCCUCUUGAUUUUUAUAGGAGGUCCAGCCUGCCCAGUGACAAAAUUAAACGGCCGCGGUACCCUAACCGUGCGAAGGUAGCAUAAUCACUUGUUCCUUAAAUGGGGGCUUGUAUCAACGGCAUCACGAGGGCUACACUGUCUCCUCUUUUUAAUCAGUUAAACUGAUCUCCCCGUGAAGAAGCGGGGAUUCUUUUAUAAGACGAGAAGACCCCAUGGAGCUUUAAGCAAUGUAUUUAUCUUUUUAUUACAUCAACAUCAGUCUAAACCUCUAAAUACUAGCUUUAGGUUGGGGAGACCACGGAGUAUAAAUUAACCUCCGUAAUAAACAGGCUCUGCCUUAAUCUGAGAGUGACAACCCAAAGAAUCAACAAACUGAUAUCUUGUGAUCCAAUCAUUUGAUUAAUGAACCAAGUUACCCUGGGGAUAACAGCGCAAUCUACUUCAAGAGCCCCUAUCGACAAGUAGGCUUACGACCUCGAUGUUGGAUCAGGGUAUCCCAGUGGUGCAACCGCUAC